GGUGGGGUGGCCGAGUGGUUUAAGGCACCGGUCUUGAAAACCGGCAUCCCGCAAGGGAUCGUGAGUUCGAAUCUCACCUCCACCGCCA
rnacentral:tRNA from 1 species